CCUACGGGAGGCAGCAGUGGGGAAUAUUGCACAAUGGGGGAAACCCUGAUGCAGCGACGCCGCGUGAGUGAGGAAGUAUUUCGGUAUGUAAAGCUCUGUCAGCAGGGAAGAAGAAUGACGGUACCUGCAGAAGAAGCACCGGCUAAAUACGUGCAAGCAGCCGCGGUAAUCCGUAUGGUGCAAGCGUUAUCCGGAUGUACUGGGUGUAAGGGGAGCGCAGGCGGUUCUGCAAGUCUGAGGUGAAAGCCCGGGGCUCAACCGCGGAACUGCAUUGGAAACUGCGGGACUGGAGUGUAGGAGGGGUGAGCGGAAUUCCAGGUGUAGCGGUGAAAUGCGUAGAUAUCAGGAGGAACACCGGUGGCGAAGGCGGCUUACUGGACUGUAACUGACGCUGAGGCUCGAAAGCGUGGGGAGCAAACAGGAUUAGAUACCCUUGUAGUC
rnacentral:rRNA from 1 species